GACGAACGCUGGCGGCGUGCUUAACACAUGCAAGUCGAACGAAGAGCGACGGAAGCUUGCUUCUAUCAAUCUUAGUGGCGAACGGGUGAGUAACGCGUAAUCAACCUGCCCUUCAGAGGGGGACAACAGUUGGAAACGACUGCUAAUACCGCAUACGAUCUAACCUCGGCAUCGAGGAUAGAUGAAAGGUGGCCUCUACAUGUAAGCUAUCACUGAAGGAGGGGAUUGCGUCUGAUUAGCUAGUUGGAGGGGUAACGGCCCACCAAGGCGAUGAUCAGUAGCCGGUCUGAGAGGAUGAACGGCCACAUUGGGACUGAGACACGGCCCAGACUCCUACGGGAGGCAGCAGUGGGGAAUCUUCCGCAAUGGACGAAAGUCUGACGGAGCAACGCCGCGUGAGGGAUGACGGCCUUCGGGUUGUAAAGCUCGGUUAAUCGGGACGAAAGGCCUUCUUGCGAAUAGUGAGAAGGAUUGACGGUACCGGAAGAGAAAGCCACGGCUAACUACGUG
rnacentral:rRNA from 1 species